GAUGAACGCUAGCGGCAGGCCUAAUACAUGCAAGUCGAACGGGAUCUGAGGGUAGCUUGCUACCCGAUUUGAGAGUGGCGCACGGGUGCGUAACGCGUGAGCAACCUACCCAUAUCAGGGGGAUAGCCCGAAGAAAUUCGGAUUAACACCGCAUAAUAAUACGCUAACACAUGUUGAUGUAUUUAAAUAUUUAUAGGAUAUGGAUGGGCUCGCGUGACAUUAGCUAGUUGGUAAGGUAACGGCUUACCAAGGCGACGAUGUCUAGGGGCUCUGAGGUGAGAAUCCCCCACACUGGGACUGAGACACGGACCAGACUCCUGCGGGAGGCAGCAGUAAGGAAUAGUGGUCAAUGGGCGCAAGCCUGAACCAGCCAUGCCGCGUGCAGGAUGACUGCCCUAUGGGUUGUAAACUGCUUUUGUUAGGGAAUAAACCUACUUAUGUAUAAGUAGCUGAAUGUACCUAAAGAAUAAGGAUCGGCUAACUCCGUGCCAGCCGCCGCGGUAA
rnacentral:rRNA from 1 species